rnacentral:rRNA from 1 species
UACGAAGGGGGCUAGCGUUGCUCGGAAUCACUGGGCGUAAAGGGUGCGUAGGCGGGUCUUUAAGUCAGGGGUGAAAUCCCCGGGCUCAACCUGGGAACUGCCACUUAAACUGAUUAGCUAGAGUAUAUGAGAGGGUAGUGGAAUUUCCGGUGUAGCGGUGAAAUGCGUAGAUAUCGGAAGGAACACCAGUGGCGAAGGCGACUACCUGGCAUGAUACUGACACUGAGGCGCGAAAGCGUGGGGAGCAAACAGG